GACGAACGCUGGCGGCGUGACUAAUACAUGCAAGUAGCACGAGUUGCGAACGGGUGAGUAACGCGUGGUAACCUGCCUCAUAGCGGGGGAUAACUAUUGGAAACGGUAGCUAAUACCGCAUACCAUCAGAUGUGCCCAGAUGGGAUUAGCUUGUUGGUGGGGUAACGGCUCACCAAGGCGACGAUCCCUAGCUGGUCUGAGAGGAUGACCAGCCUCACUGGAACUGAGACAAGGUCCAGACUCCUACGGGAGGCAUCAGUGGUGAAUAUUGCACAAUGGGCGCAAGCCUGAUGCAGCCAUGCCGCGUGUAUGAAGAAUGCCUUCGGGUUGUAAAGUACUUUCAGCGGGGAGGCGUUACCCGCAGAAGAAGCACCGGCUAACUCCGUGCCAGCAGCCGCGGUAAUAC
rnacentral:rRNA from 1 species